rnacentral:rRNA from 1 species
AACGAACGCUGGCGGCAUGCCUAACACAUGCAAGUCGAACGAAACCUUCGGGUCUAGUGGCGCACGGGUGCGUAACGCGUGGGAACCUGCCCUUAGGUUCGGAAUAACUCCCCGAAAGGGGUGCUAAUACCGGAUAAUGUCUUCGGACCAAAGAUUUAUCGCCUUUGGAUGGGCCCGCGUUGGAUUAGCUAGUUGGUAGGGUAAAAGCCUACCACGGCGACGAUCCAUAGCUGGUCUGAGAGGAUGCUCAGCCACACUGGGACUGAGACACGGCCCAGACUCCUACGGGAGGCAGCAGUGGGGAAUAUUGGACAAUGGGCGAAAGCAUGAUGCAGCAAUGACGCGUGAGUGAUGAAGGCAUGAGGGUUGUAAAGCUCUUUUAACCGGGAUGAUAAUGACAGUACCGGGAGAAUAAGCUACGGCUAACUCCGUG